CAGUAGGGAAUCUUCCACAAUGGGCGCAAGCCUGAUGGAGCAACACCGCGUGAGUGAAGAAGGGUUUCGGCUGGUAAAGCUCUGUUGUUGGAGAAGAACGUGCGUGAGAGUAACUGUUCANGCAGUGACGGUAUCCAACCAGAAAGUCUCGGCUAACUACGUGCCAACAGCCGCGGUAAUACGUAGGUGGCAAGCGUUAUCCGGAUUUAUUGGGCGUAAAGCGAGCGCAGGCGGUUGCUUAGGUCUGAUGUGAAAGCCUUCGGCUUAACCGAA
rnacentral:rRNA from 1 species